GGGACGUGUCGGAUUAUUGGGCGUAAGAGCUCGUAGGUGGUUGGUCACGUCUGCUGUGGAAACGCAACGCUUAACGUUGCGCGUGCAGUGGGUACGGGCUGACUAGAGUGCAGUAGGGGAGUCUGGAAUUCCUGGUGUAGCGGUGAAAUGCGCAGAUAUCAGGAGGAACACCGGUGGCGAAGGCGGGACUCUGGGCUGUAACUGACGCUGAGGAGCGAAAGCAUGGGGAGCGAACAGGAUUAGAUACCCUGGUAGUCCAUGCCGUAAACGUUGGGAACUAGGUGUGGGGUCCAUUCCACGGAUUCCGUGCCGUAGCUAACGCAUUAAGUUCCCCGCCUGGGGAGUACGGCCGCAAGGCUAAAACUCAAAGGAAUUGACGGGGGCCCGCACAAGCGGCGGAGCAUGCGGAUUAAUUCGAUGCAACGCGAAGAACCUUACCAAGGCUUGACAUACACCGGAAACGGCUAGAGAUAGUCGCCUCUUCGGACUGGUGUACAGGUGGUGCAUGGUUGUCGUCAGCUCGUGUCGUGAGAUGUUGGGUUAAGUCCCGCAACGAGCGCAACCCUCGUUCUAUGUUGCCAGCACGUGAUGGUGGGAACUCAUGGAAGACUGCCGGGGUCAACUCGGAGGAAGGUGGGGAUGACGUCAAAUCAUCAUGCCCUUUAUGUCUUGGGCUUCACGCAUGCUACAAUGGCCGGUACAGAGGGUGGCGAUACCGUGAGGUGGAGCGAAUCCCAUAAAGCCGGUCUCAGUUCGGAUCGUAGUCUGCAACUCGACUACGUGAAGUCGGAGUCGCUAGUAAUCGCAGAUCAGCAACGCUGCGGUGAAUACGUUCCCGGGCCUUGUACACACCGCCCGUCAAGUCACGAAAGUCGGUAACACCCGAAGCCGGUGGCCUAACCCUUGUGGGGGGAG
rnacentral:rRNA from 1 species